rnacentral:rRNA from 1 species
UACGUAGGAGGCGAGCGUUAUCCGGAUUCACUGGGCGUAAAGCGCAUGUAGGCGGUUGUGCAAGUCAUGUGUUAAAGCCCCUGGCUCAACUGGGGGAGGUCAUGUGAGACUGCGCGACUUGAGGGCAACAGAGGCACGUGGAACUCCCGGUGUAGCGGUGGAAUGCGUAGAGAUCGGGAAGAACACCCGUGGCGAAGGCGGCGUGCUGGGUUGCGACUGACGCUGAGAUGCGAAAGUGUGGGGAGCAAACGGG